rnacentral:misc_RNA from 1 species
UACAGAGGGUGCAAGCGUUGAUCGGAAUUACUGGGCGUAAAGCGCGCGUAGGUGGUUGGUUAAGUUGAAUGUGAAAGCCCCGGGCUCAACCUGGGAACUGCAUCCAAAACUGGCAAGCUAGAGUACGGUAGGGGGUGGUGGAAUUUCCGGUGUAGCGGUGAAAUGCGUAGAUAUAGGGAGGAACACCGGUGGCGAAGGCGACCACCUGGACUGAUACUGACGCUGAGGUGCGAAAGCGUGGGGAGCAAACAGG